CCCGUGCCGCUGCUAAUCAUCCUCGCCACAGCCCUAGGAGGAAACCGAUCCGGGAUCCGCCCCGGGGAAUUGUCUUUGUCCUGGCUGUUCCGCCUCCGGAAUUCUCUGAAUUGCUCAAAUGUCUGACCUCAGAUUUCCCAGGAUCCUCCUCCUUCGAAGGCCUCUAACAGGAAGUCGGGAAAACAUGUACUGAGAGAACAAUGACCUAACCCUGCGGAAGGGAAAAGACCUGACCCCAAGAUGACUCAGCGACUGGACAACCGGAUGGGUAAAGGCACUUGCUGUCAGUCCUCACGACCUGAGCUCGAUCCCGGGAUCCCACAUGUUAGGAGCUAACGGAUUCCAGCAGUUUGUCCUAUAACUUCCACACAUGCCCAAGGCUCAAGUGUGCCCAUAUGUGAAUGUACACAAAAUAAAUAAAUGUAAGAACAGAUUCCCU
rnacentral:sRNA from 1 species